CGCAGCGAAUUGCGAUAAGUAAUGUGAAUUGCAGAAGUGAAUCAUCGAAUCUUUGAACGCACCUUGCGCUCCCUGCAGAUCUAAUCUGGGGAGCAUGCCUGUUUGAGGGCCGCGAAUUGUUUCGAACGGCAGCUUUCUUCCUUUUUUUUGCGAGAGAGUUGGCGGAUCGGUAGUGAGGGGUUGCCAGUUACCAUGGCUCCCUCGAAAUGCAUUAGCGCAUCCAUUUGAGAGGCAAGGACGGGCGAAAGCUCGCUUUUUCGCCCUCCUCUUCCUCCUGCCGGGUUUUGAUAAUAUCAGGACUUCGGAGGGGAGAAGAGGGUCUGGGUUAAGAGCUGGACGCACCGUGUUUUGCUGGUUGGAGUGCUUCUGAACCCCGCCCAUGCCCGCACACGUCGGGAAGGGAACGAUGUAGUAUAUUCUACAACAUCAAUUCCAUCGGCCUCAGAUUGGAAGGACUACCCGCUGAACUUAAGCAUAUC
rnacentral:rRNA from 1 species